AACAAACACAGGGAAGAAAAGAAAGAAACAAAAGGGAAAAGACAAGACCGACCUCCCUUCCAUACUUGUCCGUGUUUUAUUUUGU
rnacentral:ribozyme from 1 species